rnacentral:tRNA from 1 species
UGUGGGGUGGAGCAGCCCGGUAGCUCGUCAGGCUCAUAACCUGAAGGUCGCAGGUUCAAAUCCUGCCCCCGCAACCA